AUUGAACGCUGGCGGCAGGCUUAACACAUGCAAGUCGAGCGGGGUGAUGGUGCUUGCACUAUCACUUAGCGGCGGACGGGUGAGUAAUGCUUAGGAAUCUGCCUAUUAGUGGGGGACAACAUUCCGAAAGGAAUGCUAAUACCGCAUACGUCCUACGGGAGACAGCAGGGGAUCUUCAGACCUUGCGCUAAUAGAUGAGACUAGGUCGGAUUAGCUAGUUGGUGGGGUAAAGGCCUACCAAGGCGACGAUCUGUAGCGGGUCUGAGAGGAGGAACCGCCACACUGGGACUGAGACACGGCCCAGACUCCUACGGGAGGCAGCAGUGGGGAAUAUUGGACAAUGGGGGAAACCCUGAUCCAGCCAUGCCGCGUGUGUGAAGAAGGCCUUAUGGUUGUAAAGCACUUUAAGCGAGGAGGAGGCUACUGAGACUAAUACUCUUGGAUAGUGGACGUUACUCGCAGAAUAAGCACCGGCUAACUCUGUGCCAGCCGCCGCCGUAA
rnacentral:rRNA from 1 species